UUAGCUCAUAUUUGUAUGGAAUGGGAUCGUUUGCGUACGUGUGCCGCUAGGAGCGCUGUUCCAACUGCAUACAAAUUUGGCUUA
rnacentral:pre_miRNA from 1 species